rnacentral:tRNA from 5 species
GGGCAGGUAGCUCAGUCGGUACGAGCGUCCGCCUGAAAAGCGGAAGGUCGGCGGUUCGACCCCGCCCCUGCCCAC